GAUGAACGCUGGCGGCGUGCCUAAUACAUGCAAGUCGAGCGAACGGACGAGAAGCUUGCUUCUUUGAUGUUAGCGGCGGACGGGUGAGUAACACGUGGAUAACCUACCUAUAAGACUGGGAUAACUUCGGGAAAUCGGAGCUAAUACCGGAUAAUAUUUUGAACCGCAUGGUUCAAAAGUGAACGACGGUCUUGCUGUCACUUAUAGAUGGAUCCGCGCUGCAUUAGCUAGUUGGUAAGGUAACGGCUUACCAAGGCAACGAUGCAUAGCCGACCUGAGAGGGUGAUCGGCCACACUGGAACUGAGACACGGUCCAGACUCCUACGGGAGGCAGCAGUAGGGAAUCUUCCGCAAUGGGCGAAAGCCUGACGGAGCAACGCCGCGUGAGUGAUGAAGGUCUUCGGAUCGUAAAACUCUGUUAUUAGGGAAGAACAUAUGUGUAAGUAACUGUGCACAUCUUGACGGUACCUAAUCAGAAAGCCACGGCUAACUACGUGCCAGCAGCCGCGGUAAUACGUAGGUGGCAAGCGUUAUCCGGAAUUAUUGGGCGUAAAGCGCGCGUAGGCGGUUUUUUAAGUCUGAUGUGAAAGCCCACGGCUCAACCGUGGAGGGUCAUUGGAAACUGGAAAACUUGAGUGCAGAAGAGGAAAGUGGAAUUCCAUGUGUAGCGGUGAAAUGCGCAGAGAUAUGGAGGAACACCAGUGGCGAAGGCGACUUUCUGGUCUGUAACUGACGCUGAUGUGCGAAAGCGUGGGGAUCAAACAGGAUUAGAUACCCUGGUAGUCCACGCCGUAAACGAUGAGUGCUAAGUGUUAGGGGGUUUCCGCCCCUUAGUGCUGCAGCUAACGCAUUAAGCACUCCGCCUGGGGAGUACGACCGCAAGGUUGAAACUCAAAGGAAUUGACGGGGACCCGCACAAGCGGUGGAGCAUGUGGUUUAAUUCGAAGCAACGCGAAGAACCUUACCAAAUCUUGACAUCCUUUGACAACUCUAGAGAUAGAGCCUUCCCCUUCGGGGGACAAAGUGACAGGUGGUGCAUGGUUGUCGUCAGCUCGUGUCGUGAGAUGUUGGGUUAAGUCCCGCAACGAGCGCAACCCUUAAGCUUAGUUGCCAUCAUUAAGUUGGGCACUCUAAGUUGACUGCCGGUGACAAACCGGAGGAAGGUGGGGAUGACGUCAAAUCAUCAUGCCCCUUAUGAUUUGGGCUACACACGUGCUACAAUGGACAAUACAAAGGGCAGCGAAACCGCGAGGUCAAGCAAAUCCCAUAAAGUUGUUCUCAGUUCGGAUUGUAGUCUGCAACUCGACUACAUGAAGCUGGAAUCGCUAGUAAUCGUAGAUCAGCAUGCUACGGUGAAUACGUUCCCGGGUCU
rnacentral:rRNA from 1 species